UUGAAAAGCCAGGGGAUGACUUGUGGAUCGGAGUGAAAGGCUAAUCAAGCCCGGAGAUAGCUGGUUCUCCCCGAAAGCUAUUUAGGUAGCGCCUCGGACGAAUACCACAGGGGGUAGAGCACUGUUUCGGCUAGGGGGUCAUCCCGACUUACCAACCCGAUGCAAACUCCGAAUACCUGUGAGUACUAUCCGGGAGACACACGGUGGGUGCUAACGUCCAUCGUGAAGAGGGAAACAACCCAGACCGCCAGCUAAGGUCCCCAAAUACCAGUUAAGUGGGAAACGAUGUGGGAAGGCUCAGACAGCUAGGAGGUUGGCUUAGAAGCAGCCACCCUUUAAAGAGUGCGUAAUAGCUCACUGGUCGAGUGACUCUGCGCCGAAAAUGUACCGGGGCUAAACGUAUCACCGAAGCUGUGGAUGGACAUCUUAUGAUGUCCGUGGUAGGAGAGCGUUCUAAGGGUGUUGAAGCAAGACCGGAAGGACUUGUGGAGCGCUUAGAAGUGAGAAUGCCGGUAUGAGUAGCGAAAGAUGAGUGAGAAUCUCAUCCACCGAUUGACUAAGGUUUCCUGAGGAAGGCUCGUCCGCUCAGGGUUAGUCGGGACCUAAGCCGAGGCUGAAAAGCGUAGGCGAUGGACAACAGGUUGAUAUUCCUGUACCACCAAAAUCCGUUUGAGUGAUGGGGGGACGCAGGAGGAUAGGGUAAGCGCGCUUC
rnacentral:rRNA from 1 species